rnacentral:rRNA from 1 species
GACGAACGCUGGCGGCGUGCUUAACACAUGCAAGUCGAACGGAAAGGCCCUGCUUUUGUGGGGUGCUCGGGUGGCGAACGGGUGAGUAACACGUGAGUAACCUGCCCUUGACUUUGGGAUAACUUCAGGAAACUGGGGCUAAUACCGGAUAGGAGCUCCUGCUGCAUGGUGGGGGUUGGAAAGUUUCGGCGGGUGGGGAUGGACUCGCGGCUUAUCAGCUUGUUGGUGGGGUAGUGGCUUACCAAGGCUUUGACGGGUAGCCGGCCUGAGAGGGUGAACGGCCACAUUGGGACUGAGAUACGGCCCAGACUCCUACGGGAGGCAGCAGUGGGGAAUAUUGCACAAUGGGCGGAAGCCUGAUGCAGCAACGCCGCGUGCGGGAUGACGGCCUUCGGGUUGUAAACCGCUUUCGCCUGUGACGAAGCGUGAGUGACGGUAAUGAGUAAAGAAGCACCGGCUAACUACGUG